UAGAGUUUGGAUCAUGGCUCAGGACGAACGCUGGCGGCGUGCCUAAUACAUGCAAGUCGAACGCCUCUUUUUCCACCGGAGCUUGCUCCAUCGGAAAAAGAGGAGUGGCGAACGGGUGAGUAACACGUGGGUAACCUGCCCAUCAGAAGGGGAUAACACUUGGAAACAGGUGCUAAUACCGUAUAACAAUCGAAACCGCAUGGUUUUGAUUUGAAAGGCGCUUUCGGGUGUCGCUGAUGGAUGGACCCGCGGUGCAUUAGCUAGUUGGUGAGGUAACGGCUCACCAAGGCGACGAUGCAUAGCCGACCUGAGAGGGUGAUCGGCCACAUUGGGACUGAGACACGGCCCAAACUCCUACGGGAGGCAGCAGUAGGGAAUCUUCGGCAAUGGACGAAAGUCUGACCGAGCAACGCCGCGUGAGUGAAGAAGGUUUUCGGAUCGUAAAACUCUGUUGUUAGAGAAGAACAAGGAUGAGAGUAACUGUUCAUCCCUUGACGGUAUCUAACCAGAAAGCCACGGCUAACUACGUGCCAGCAGCCGCGGUAAUACGUAGGUGGCAAGCGUUGUCCGGAUUUAUUGGGCGUAAAGCGAGCGCAGGCGGUUUCUUAAGUCUGAUGUGAAAGCCCCCGGCUCAACCGGGGAGGGUCAUUGGAAACUGGGAGACUUGAGUGCAGAAGAGGAGAGUGGAAUUCCAUGUGUAGCGGUGAAAUGCGUAGAUAUAUGGAGGAACACCAGUGGCGAAGGCGGCUCUCUGGUCUGUAACUGACGCUGAGGCUCGAAAGCGUGGGGAGCAAACAGGAUUAGAUACCCUGGUAGUCCACGCCGUAAACGAUGAGUGCUAAGUGUUGGAGGGUUUCCGCCCUUCAGUGCUGCAGCUAACGCAUUAAGCACUCCGCCUGGGGAGUACGACCGCAAGGUUGAAACUCAAAGGAAUUGACGGGGGCCCGCACAAGCGGUGGAGCAUGUGGUUUAAUUCGAAGCAACGCGAAGAACCUUACCAGGUCUUGACAUCCUUUGACCACUCUAGAGAUAGAGCUUCCCCUUCGGGGGCAAAGUGACAGGUGGGUGCAUGGUUUGUCGUCAGCUCCGUGUCGUGAGAUGUUGGGUUAAGUCCCGCAACGAGCGCAACCCUUAUUGUUAGUUGCCAUCAUUUAGUUGGGCACUCUAGCAAGACUGCCGGUGACAAACCGGAGGAAGGUGGGGAUGACGUCAAAUCAUCAUGCCCCUUAUGACCUGGGCUACACACGUGCUACAAUGGGAAGUACAACGAGUCGCAAAGUCGCGAGGCUAAGCUAAUCUCUUAAAGCUUCUCUCAGUUCGGAUUGUAGGCUGCAACUCGCCUACAUGAAGCCGGAAUCGCUAGUAAUCGCGGAUCAGCACGCCGCGGUGAAUACGUUCCCGGGCCUUGUACACACCGCCCGUCACACCACGAGGAGUUUGUAACACCCCGAAGUCGGUGAGGUAACCUUUUUGGAGCCAGCCGGCCAAAGGUGGGGAUAAGAUGAUUGGGGGUGAAAUUCGUAAACAAGGUAAACCGGUAA
rnacentral:rRNA from 1 species